CUAACCUUGUCAACAAGCAGUCAUGGACUCCUUGUGCCACAGCUGGUUCUCCGGCCAGACCCUCAUGCUCCAAAUGAGCCUCCAUCUCGGUGGCCGGCCCCAUGACCUAGUGGUUAAGUUUGGUGCACUCUGCUGUGGCAUCCAGGGCAGUUCCCACGCGUGGAUCUACACCACUCAUUGCCGGACAUGCUGUGGCACUGACCCACAUACAAAAUAGAAGACUGGCACAGAGGUUCCCAGACUGUCAAAGACCCCAGCUCGUCCUGCACGUUGCAAAGGACCGUGGGGGGAUCUGUGCAGCUGCAACUGACCUCCUCCUCAUCUCCUGAUGUCCGAGAGAUUGAGUGGAUUCGGGAUUCUGGUGAUGAGAGAGAUUUGAUCCUGGUGUCCUGGAAACCUGAUACCUAUACUCCUGAAUGUAUGGCCUUGAAGAAAAAUGCAAACACAGAUUCAGCCUAACAGAGCUGGCUUUCUUGAUCAUCAGAAAUCUCAGUAUGGAAAUGAGUGGACUGUACACAGUGAAAAUCAAGUUCCAGUCUGGAAAAUCCCAGGAGGAAGCCUUCAGGCUCUGUUUAUACAGUAAGGUUUGUAGGGACCAUGCCCCACACAGGCAUUCUGACAACCACUUUGUCUAAAGCAAGUUAGACUAGAAUUGGGUAAAAAAAAAAAAGGAAAAAAAAACAUUUUUCAGGAGUUUUGCAUUUCUUCUCAUGCGCUAAAGAUAAAACUAAAUUUUAAAGAUUACACUCCAGGAAAAAAUAUUUAUAAUUUCUUAAAAAAGUAUAAAAUAUACAUGAAAUGAGGGAGGCAGAAGGAGCCACUGAAAAGGAUAAAAAAAUAGUUUCUUCAAUCAUAAAAAUACUGCAAAAUUGAUUAUAAGAAAUAUGCAAUUAUAUCAAAAAUGUCCUGAAUUGGUUGAUUGAAAACCUGAUUUCAAAAUGUUUAAAUGACCCAAAAAGUUGGCAACACCAAAGCAACAAAACAGGACACAAAAAAGAUGAAAUAAAAAUGCCAAGAAGGAGAUUGAUGAUAGGACGAGUCAUUAGGUAAAACACUUUGAGACCAAUUGACCUGAAGUCCAGCUGCAGAGAUCUCAGGACAAAGCUCUGUCCCGCUCUGUCCAAGUCAAAGACGCAGGAGGAGACCCAGCCGCUGUGCCCUGGAGCUCUCAGGCCAAUGGGGAGCCCAACACCCUGCCCCAGGAAGCAGAGAACCUGCGCAGACGUGCAGUGGAGAAAGCAGAAAAAAGGGAGGAGGGGGAGUAGAGCCUGAGGGCCAUCCAACCUGCCAGAGUUCUUGCCCAUUGCUCCUCUCUGCCUCCACCCUCCGUCUCCUCUGCUUGGGUGAUCCCAGCAGCCUCCUAACGGGCCUCCCUGCCUGUUGUCUCUUCCUCCUUCCAAAUCACCCUCCAACCAGCUGAUAUUUGGAUCUGUUUAAAAAUGCAGUACUCUUCCUGUUAUUCCCCUGCUUAAAACCAAAUAAUGCUUCUUGUCCCCACCCCCACAGGAUAAUGGCACUCAGGAAAAGUCCAGCCCCACACAGGAUCUGGUCCUUGCCUGCCUCAUUUCCCAACACUUUCCCUCAUGGGCCAUGCUCCAAAUUAGCUACCCUUCACUCACCCACCGGGCCCUUUCUCUUCUCCUGGACAUAUGAUGGUGGCUCUCCAGGGGACAUCCAUCUCCCACGUUUCCCCUGCACAACUGGCAAAUCCUCACCCAGUGGGAGCAGGGGAAGGGUGAGGGACUCAACAUGGGGGAUGGGAACGCUUGUAAGAAGAGACUGGGGAGACUGGCUUGACUGUCCAAGCUGGGGUUUUCCAUUGGUGAAGGGUGGGGAAUACACCCGCUGCCCCCCCGGCCUCCAGCUCCUGAUUCCUGAUCUUGUCUCUGUCCUCCUUGGCUGAUAAAUUCCUUGCAUAGCUUUCUCAGUGACAUCAUAUUGGUACAGUCUCAUCCUAUCUCUUUUGGCAGCAAGAAAUGGAAACCUACUCAAAUUAGGUCAAUGAAGAGGUUUUCAUUAUAAAGACACAUAGGUUUUUGCUCCAUGACACAGCAGUUAAGCUUGCACGUUCCACUUCAGCAGGCUGGGGUUCACCGGUUAGGAUCCUGGGUGUGGACAUGGCACUGUUCAGCAAGCCAUGCUGUGGUAGGCGUCCCACAUAUAAAGUAGAGGAAGAUGAGCGUGGAUGUUACCUCAGGGCCAGUCUUCCUCAGAGAAAACAGAGGAGGAUUAGCAGCAGAUCUCUAGGAGGAAGAUGCAUACAGGAGCUCCUCUGGCCCUCAUGCUCAGGGACUGGAAAGCUGAUGGGCUCUCUCUCCUCUCUGUCAGGGACUGUAUCGUCUCUCAUCUUUGCUCUCAGUGUCUCUCUCUCUCUCUUUUUCCUAUUCUCCUGGGCUUCUCCACACGGUAGGGAACAUGGCCUUCUGCAGCUAUGGGUCCCGCUGGAUCAGACAGCAAAGGGACUUUCCUGGUUCACUCCACAUGGAAAAUCCAGGGAAGGACCCUUGUUGGCUGGUCUUGGGUCACAAGGCCACCCCCAGAUGGCUCACUGGCCAGAGGAAUAGUAGAUUCUAUUGGCAAGGCCUGGGAAUGUGCCCUCCCCUGUAACCAGGAUUAGGGUGCUAUGAUUAACAUAAUAUCAAAAACAAGGUUGGAGCAGAAUAGAAUUUGCUGAAAGAAGAAGUGCUACUAGCUGGUUUCCUUUAGCCUUGUUUUCCAUUCCCUGACAUCCCAUCAAUGCCCAAGUUCAGUCUUCCAACAACACUCGCUCUCUCCCCAUCACCUGUAGGACUAAGUACUCAUCACAGCAUUAGGCCCUCCACCAACUGACGCCGUCAUUCCAGCCUUGUUUCCAGCCAAACAUAUUGUGCCUCAAAUACAGCCUCUCUCUCCCUCAUGGCUUUCAGAACUGCCAUGGCCUAAGAAAAUGAUUUUCUGAUCCAUAUUAAAUGAAUAUUUCCAUUUUGAAGUCCCAAAGUUCUUUCUCCUAGUUCUCCUGCAGAUCGUGUUUCUGUCUGCCUUGCACUACCAUUGUUUGUGUGUGGUCCACUCUCCACUUGAGAGCGGGGUCCGUGCCCUGCUCUCCUUGGCAUCUGCCCAGUGUUUUCUACAGCUCUCAGCAGGCCUUCAGGAAGUACUGUAUUCCUGUAACCAGAUAGAGUUAAGCAAUAUUUAAAGGAUACCUACAGAAACACACCUACUUUUUCUAGGAUUUUUGAUUAUUCAAGCCUGAUUACUAUUCCUUCACCUCUUGAAAAGAGCAGAAUAAAGAUUCAUGUAAACCAAUUAUUGAGUGAAUACUCUAAAUGCCUAAGAGCAUGAGCUUUCUAAACACCCGUCUGUGCUUCCUUACUCUGUGUAGCAGACAGUCUAUUUGGUUUUAUAUUUAAAUUAUUAUCUGUUCAUUAAGUCAGAUCUUUCAAAAAGAUAAGUAAAUAUCAUUUUCCCCAGACACAUGUUCAAACAGUCUUGAGGAGGGCCCACACAUUUGUAUUUUUAAUAACUGCCCAAGAUCAGGACCUGGUAAACUAUACCCAUUGGUCAAAUCCAGCCCAGUGUCUGUUUUUAUACAUAAAGUUUUAUUGGAACACAGCCACAUCCAUUCAUUAACAUGUUGUGUUUGGCUCCUUUUGUGCUAUAACGUCAAAGUUGUGUAGUUGUGACAGAGCCCAUAUGGCUGGUGAAACCUAAAAUAUUUGCUAUCUGACCCUUUACAGAAAAGUUUGCCUCCCCUGCCUAGAUGAAUCUACUGACAGCUGAUCCAGGUAACUUCAGAGGUUAACAUGAGGAUUAAAUGAGUCCAUGUAAACCCUUGGAGCCAUGACUGGAAAUGCAUACCUGCUCAAUGAGUGCUAGCUGUGGUUUUCUUUUCAUCUGCUAAUGGAGUAAAUUACAUUAAUAAAUUUCUGGAUUACACUAACUUUGUAUUCCUAUAAUAAACCCAACUUGAUCAUGA